rnacentral:rRNA from 1 species
UACGGAGGGUGCAAGCGUUGUCCGGAUUUAUUGGGUUUAAAGGGUGCGUAGGUGGGUUGGUAAGUCUGGUUUGAAAGUUGGUCGCUUAACGAUCAAGGGUGGCUGGAUACUGCUGAUCUUGAAUGUUCUUGAGGUAGCCGGAAUGGGUUGUGUAGCGGUGAAAUGCAUAGAGAUGACCCGGAACACCGAUUGCGAAGGCAGGCUACUGAGGAAUGAUUGACACUGAGGCACGAGAGCAUGGGGAGCAAACAGG